CAGGAAAUAGUUUAAUAGAAGAAUAGUAACUUUGGGAGUUACUGGUAUAAGUCUAAAGUCUUGUUUUCCUGA
rnacentral:tRNA from 1 species